AGCAAUGAUGAGCUCUAUCCCUAUCUGACCCAUGAUGACUGUAGCGCGCGCUGAGCU
rnacentral:snoRNA from 1 species